UGGAACGACACGGCCGCACGGUGAUCACCGUGCGGACACCAAAUCGUGAACCCAUCGGAGGUUCUACGGUUCCAGAACGGAGGUCAAUCCAGAACGGAGGUGAACCCAUCGGAGGUUCUACGGUUCCAGAACGGAGGUCAAUCCAGAACGGAGGUGAACCCAUCGGAGGUUCUGCGGUUCCAGAACGGAGGUCAAUCCAGAACGGAGGUGAACCCAUCGGAGGUUCUACGGUUCCUGAUAGUUGAUCGACACGCCGCAUCCGUCGCUGCAGGGAAGUGGAUUUGUGCGGUUGCAAGCUUUUUGCCUUGAAAUCUUCUAGUUAUUUGUUUAAAUCCCAUCCCGGUGAUCCCGCUCAGCAACUAUUUUAAUUUGAUUUUAUUUCAAAAUCACUGCUUAGUCUGUUUAUUUAUUUAGAGGAACCCAUCGGACGGUGGAGGCAGGGUACCGUCAGGAGCGACCGUGCGAACAGGGUCGUUCCUGAU
rnacentral:lncRNA from 1 species